AAGGCGGUCUGUGGACAACACCAUCAGUUACAAAAACGAAGAUUGCAAUGGAGGCCCCAUAAGUCCCGUCCCAUCCUUUGCUGCCCACGCGGAAACGCCCAAACCCUCACCUUAUGGGAUCAAGGGUCGCAGCCAAUAGGACACUUUUUCCUGAGCCAAUUAUAGUGCCGCCUGGUCGUUGCCUGGGUGAUCAGGAAGAGCGCACAUCGCGUAAUGGCUCACGCGGCGCGAACUACACUACCCAGAAGGGUAGUCGCAGAGCGUCCGCGCCAGUAUUGACCAAUGAGAGCCCAGGACAAGGGUAUUUCCGGUCGGGUUGAGGCUUCUGACCAAUGAUAGCCUAGGGGAGGGGCGUUUCCGGAGCUGCCGAGCAGGCAGAGGCGGGACUACCGGGUGGAAUCGGUGCUCCAGUGUCCUGCCUUUAUAUGUGCAGGGGGCGAAGGGACCUAGUUACUGGGCUGCCUACGAGGUUCAGGAGGUUCUCUGGCCCGUGGAGAUCCGAGUGGGGAGACCCUGGUUCGAAAGUCAACCCUACCGAGGUCAUGACCCAGCAUAUAGCUGGACUGGGGACGUGAUAAGCCAGCCGAUCGACUGAGCACGGAUGAGGCAGGGUCUCCUGGCCGGACUCUGAGCCCCAGUGCCUGAGGUUCCCGACUAAGCCCAGGACUCGGUGUUCAGGUAGAGCGGUCUCAGGGCCUGGAGGAAUGGGCACCCAGGGUCCUUCGCCUUGUUCCUGUGCUUGAGCGACCACGUGGGACUUGGAAAACGCAAGUCCUGGGAGCAAGACCGGGUGGGUAAGGGGCUGGCCUAGCUCAGGGCAGCCCAUCCUGUGACAGACCAAAGGAAGCACGUGGCGUCUUUGCAACUGGGAAGAAGAGGCAGCGUUACAGAAUAAGCCUGAGGAGCGUCUCCCAGGAAGAGCCCAGUGGUCUCCACAAGCAGCAACCGUGUCGGGAGGAUAGGAGUUACGCUGUGGCACGGGGGAUGGGAGGCGUCUCUGCAGCGCUAGGACACAGGUUUGAUCCCCAGCCUGGCACAGUGGGUUAAAGGAUCCAGCGUUGCUGCAGCGCUGGGUCGAAACCGAGGCCUGCAUGUGAUCCCUGGCCCAGCCCGGGAGCCCCAGAUGCCACCGAGGGGCCAAAAAAGGAUGAAAAAGUAGAGCCUGGGCACAGAGGUGUCACUGGUCUGGACAGAUGUAGGCAGCCAGACUGAGACGCCCAGCCCCGAGCCCUUCCCUGGGACGCUUCAGAGUCAGGUGUGGGGGCCCCUUAGGGAGUGGAGCAGGCAGGGGGCCCAGGGGAGGAAGCAGCGCCCUUGCUCAGCUGCGGGAACACAGAACCGCUCCUGGGAGAGGGGGAAGAGCAGAGCCUAGGAGAGGAGGGCGGGAGGGCCUUACAGGGAGGCCGCAGGUGCCUCGUCCUCGUCCAGGCCAUCCCACUCCUCCCGGGAGAAACACGUGGCCACAGCCUCCAAGGUCCCCCAGCCCUGCCGUGAUGAGGACAACUAAGUCCCCCCGACCAAGGGCAGCAGAAAAGGGAACGAAAAACGUGCAGAUCUGGAGUUACUUUCAUGGCUCAGUGGUUAAUGAACCCAGCUAGCACCCAUGAGGAUGUGGGUUCGAUCCCUAUCCUCGCUCAGUGGCCUGAGGAUCUGAUGAGCUGUGACGUCAACUGGCAGCUGUAGCUGCGAUUCGACCCCUAGCCUGGGAACUUCCAUGUGCUGCGGGUGCAGCCCUAAAAAGCAAAAAAUAGAAAAUAAAACAAAAAAUGUGCCGAAGAACCCACAUAGGCCUAGACUUGUGACCCUGCAUCACACCACCUCUCUGGUGGCCAGUCUCCGACCCCUAAAUCAUCCUCCCCAAAACACUCCUAGGUCACCCACUUUCUCUUCCCAAGCUGCAGGGUCAGUGGGUGCCACUGUAUUAUCCCACUGUUGACUGUCGUCCUUCAGAGAGCAGGCAGGUGGGCAGAUAGAUGCCAACUAAACCCUGAUCCUGGCAUGUAGCACCCUGCUGCCUCCUGCCAGGCAAUUCCCUGGAUCUCCAGAUCCUGCCUCCCAGAAACGCCAGGCUGGAGCCUCCCUUUCUCCCAAAGGCCCUCCCACCCCCAGACUCCAGUCCACAAAUUCUCACCUCCCCUGCACACGCACAUCAGGCUGCUUUUUUUCCCCCAGGGCCGCACCUGCAGCAUAUGGAG